CUUAACACAUGCAAGUCGAAGGGCAGCACGUCUUCGGAUGGUGGCGACUGGCGAACGGGUGCGUAACGCGUAUGCAACCUACCCUCAACAGGGGAAUAGCCCAGAGAAAUUUGGAUUAAUACCCCAUAGUAUUACAGAUUCGCAUGUUCUGUGAUUAAAGUUCCAACGGUUGAGGAUGGGCAUGCGUGACAUUAGCUUGUUGGUGAGGUAACGGCUCACCAAGGCAACGAUGUCUAGGGGUUCUGAGAGGAUGAUCCCCCACACUGGUACUGAGACACGGACCAGACUCCUACGGGAGGCAGCAGUGAGGAAUAUUGGACAAUGGAGGCAACUCUGAUCCAGCCAUCCCGCGUGCAGGAAGAAGGCCCUAUGGGUUGUAAACUGCUUUUAUACAGGAAUAAACCCCUCUACGUGUAGAGGGCUGAAGGUACUGUAAGAAUAAGCACCGGCUAACUCCGUG
rnacentral:rRNA from 1 species